rnacentral:rRNA from 1 species
AGGACGAACGCUGGCGGCGUGCUUAACACAUGCAAGUCGAGCGGAAAGGCCCUUCGGGGUACUCGAGCGGCGAACGGGUGAGUAACACGUGAGCAACCUGCCCUUAGCUCCGGGAUAGCUCCGGGAAACCGGAAUUAAUACCGGAUACAACACCGGCCGACAUCGGCCGGUGUGGAAAGAAUUUCGGCUAGGGAUGGACUCGCGGCCUAUCAGCUAGUUGGUGGGGUAAAGGCCUACCAAGGCGACGACGGGUAGCCGGCCUGAGAGGGGCGACCGGGCCAACGACUGGGACUGAGACACGGCCCAGACUCCUACGGGAGGCAGCAGUGGGGAAUCUUGCGCAAUGGGCGAAAGCCUGACGCAGCGACGCCGCGUGGGGGAUGAAGGCCUUCGGGUUGUAAACCCCUUUCAGCAGGGACGAAGCGAAAGUGACGGUACCUGCAGAAGAAGCGCCGGCUAACUACGUGCCAGCAGCCGC